rnacentral:miRNA from 12 species
GGAGUGGAGUGGAGUGGAGUGGAGUGGAGUGGAGUGGAGUGGAGUGGAGUGGAGUGGAGUGGAGUGGAGUGGAGUGGAGUGGAGUGGAUUGUUCUCCCCACCAAAGGGGGGAAGCCGAGAGCAGAUCCCCCAGAGGGCUCCUCCAAACCCGGGUCCCCCCUCUGGACAAAGUCACCGUUACCUUCUGCCACC